AUGGGAAUAGCGCAGUUGGUUAGCGUACCUCACUUGGGCUGAGGUGGUCGGGAGUUCGAGUCUCUCUUCCCAUA
rnacentral:tRNA from 1 species